GGAUGUGAGGGCAAUCUGGCUGGGAUAUCUGUCACCCCAUUGAUCGCCAGGGUUGAUUCGGCUGAUCUGGCUGGUUAGACAGGUGUCCCCUUCCUCCCUCACCACUCCAUGUGCGCCCCUCCCGAAGCUGCGCUCUUGGUCGAGGAGGACGACCUUCCCCGAUAGAGGAGGACCGUUCUUUGGUCAAGGGUAUACGAGUAGCUGCGUUCCCAUGCUAGAGCCUCCAAACAAGCUCUCAAGGUCCAUUUGUAGGAGAACAUAGGGUAGUCAAGCUUCCAAGACUCCAGACACAUCCAGUUGAGGUGCUGCACGUGGCAGUCUGCCUUUCUUU
rnacentral:snRNA from 1 species